AGAGAGAGACAUGCGCGCAUAUCAAUAAGCGGAGGAAAAGAAACUAACUAGGAUUCCCUCAGUAACGGCGAGUGAAGCGGGAAGAGCUCAAAUUUGAAAUCUUUCUUCAAGGUUCUACCUUGACGAAUUGUAGUUUAAAGAAGUGUUUUCUGUUGGAGUUUUGGUAAAAGUUCUUUGGAAUAGGACAUCAUAGAGGGUGAGAAUCCCGUAUUUGACCAUUAUUUCCAGCUUUGUGAUACACUUUCAAAGAGUCGGAUUGUUUGGGAAUGCAGUCCAAAAUGGGUGGUAAAUUUCAUCUAAAGCUAAAUAUUGGCGAGAGACCGAUAGCGAACAAGUACCGUGAGGGAAAGAUGAAAAGAACUUUGAAAAGAGAGUUAAACAGUACGUGAAAUUGUCAAAAGGGAAGCGUUUGACACCAGUGUUGUUUUCUCGAAAAUCAAUUAAAAAAGGCAGGAUUUUGUGUUGUAUUGACUUUAUCAGCUUUCUGCACUCUUUUCUUGUCUUUUUUAAUGCACUUUUCGUUUAACAAGUCAACAUCAAUUUCUUUUGUUGUAAAAGGGUCAUUGGAAGGUGGCUUUCUUUUCGGAGAAAGUGUUUAUAGCCUUUGGCCUCUGCAAUCGGAGAGAUUGAGGUCUGCAGCGUAGAUCCUUCGGGGUUAGAUACAUUUGUGCUAAGUUAUAGCCUUUCAUAGACAACUUGUUGACUAUGAUCAGUCAUGUAGCUUACUCGCUUAUGCUAUUUUACCUACGCUUAGGAUGUUGAUGUGAUACUGCGAGCA
rnacentral:rRNA from 1 species